GAAGAGUAAGAAAAUAAAUAUACAAUUUAGGACUCGGGGUAAAGGGAUCAAUAACAAUUUAACAUUUAUAAUUUACUGUUUGAUGAUUUAAAGUCUCACUCAACUUGUUGAAAGGGGAAGGGGGCGGCUGCUUCCAAAUAGAGCACAUUUCAUUCAUAAUGUUGUAAAUCCAAGCCCAUUAUGUAUUCAUGAUUUGAAUCCUGGGCUGUGCGAAAUACCAGAAAUAAACCCUAGACAAAGCGAAUCUGUGAACUAAGGUGUAGGUCUGUUAGGUUAUGUUGUGGUGAUCCUCGUGUUGGGGCAUGGGUGUUCUACAGUGCAAAAUUAAAACCAAUGGAAGGUGGACAAGAAAAGGUCAAAGCCAUCAGGUGCUCAGCCAGAGGGGGUGUUCGCCCAGGGCACCAAACAGGCUAGGACCACCAUUGGCUACUUGGAUUAGGGGAGUAUUAGUUGGCCUCUCUCAGCCUUUAGGCCAUUCGGGCUUAUUUGAAUGUUGUUUGCUUUACACAGCACAGGAACACACACUACGCAUUACCACUGAACUGACAACAUAUUUGACUUUUGUUGGGCUUUUUUUGUUGUUGUUUUAUUUUUAUUUUUUUUUUAUAAAUUAGCUUUUUGUGCAACUAAUGUGUGAUGUCCAUCUUUUGUGGUGUCCUUGUCACGGUUCUGGGUCAGUUUGACCCAGUAUUUUGAGUUGUCAUGUUUUUGCAGGUUUAGUUUAGUUCCAUGUGUCAUUCUCUCUAUGUCGAGUCUGCGUCUUAGUGUGAUGGUUUCUUGUUCCUGUUUUAUUGUGAAGGUCUGCGUCUCAUGUGAGUGUGUUCAGUUUUACCUCUGUCUCGUCUUGUUGAUUAUUCCCAGCUGUGUCCACCACCUGUGUGUAAUUCCCCUGUGUUUCUCUGUGUAUCCACCAUGUCUCACCCGUGUGUUCUCCCUGCUGUCCAUCGUCAUUCUCCUCUGCUUGUUCUCAUUCUUGUCCAGGUUUGUGCUCGGUAGUUUAGUUGUUUCCAGUCUAGUUUAGUUCGUGCUCUAUUUGCUGUUUGUCUAUAUUUAUUUUGUAUUUAAUAAACCACCCUCACCCCUUUACAAGUGCCUGCUUUUGGAUCCUCCUUUAUUUCCCACACGGCUCAUCGCACUCGCCGUGACAGUCCUUGUGUGGUGUCCAUCAUUUUGGCUGAUCAAAAAUCUUCAUAGUGUCACUACAGGCCAAGGUAAUGCCGUCCAUGGUAAGUAUCUGGUUAGAUGCCAUGUUUUUAAGAAUUUUAGGGUUAGUUUUGUCUGAAUUCGAAGCAGAAAAUUAGAGUUUGUCCAGGCCUUUAUGCCUAUAAGACAUGUCGUAUUUGUGUCAUCUGACUUCAUAAAUAACCAUAACCAUUUGGAGUGGAGGGCCCACUCCUGAAGAAAUUCUAUGACUCUGUUGUGGCUUCUGCUAUCUUUUAUGGCGUGGUCUGCUGGGGCGGCAGCAUCUCUGCUGGGGACAGGAAGAGACUGAACAGGGUGAUCCGAAGGGCCAGCUCUGUUCUAGGAU
ensembl:lncRNA